rnacentral:rRNA from 1 species
CUGCCCGGUGCUCGAAGGUUAAUUGAUGGGGUUAGCAUUAGCGAAGCUCUUGAUCGAAGCCCGAGUAAACGGCGGCCGUAACUAUAACGGUCCUAAGGUAGCGAAAUUCCUUGUCGGUUAAAUACCGACCUGCAUGAAUGGCGUAACGAGAUGGGAGCUGUCUCAAAGAGGGAUCCAGUGAAAUUGUAGUGGAGGUGAAAAUUCCUCCUACCCGCGGCAAGACGGAAAGACCCCGUGGACCUUUACUACAGCUUGACACUGCUACUUGGAUAAGAAUGUGCAGGAUAGGUGGGAGGCUUUGAGUAUAUGACGCCAGUUGUAUAUGAGCCAUUGUUGAGAUACCACUCUUUCUUAUUUGGGUAGCUAACCAGCUUGAGUUAUCCUCAAGUGGGACAAUGUCUGGUGGGUAGUUUGACUGGGGCGGUCGCCUCCCAAAUAAUAACGGAGGCUUACAAAGGUUGGC